rnacentral:snRNA from 8 species
CUUACCUGGCAAGGGAGACACCGUGAUCAAGAAGGCGGUUCACCCAGGGCGAGGCUCAGCCAUUGCACUCCGGCUGUGCUGACCCCUGCGAAUUUCCCAAAUGUGGAAAUCUCGAUUGCAUAAUUUCUGGUAGUGGGGACUGCGUUCGCGCUCUCCCCU